AACGAACGCUGGCGGCAUGCCUAACACAUGCAAGUCGAACGAGACCUUCGGGUCUCGUGGCGCACGGUUGCGUACCGCGUGGGAACCUGCCCUUAGGUUCGGAAUAACUCCCCGAAAGGGGUUCUAAUACCGGAUAAUGUCUUCGGACCAAAGAUUUAUCGCCUUUGGAUGGGCCCGCGUUGGAUUAGCUAGUUGGUAGGGUAAAAGCCUACCAAGGCGACGAUCCAUAGCUUGUCUGAGAGGAUGAUCAGCCACACUGGGACUGAGACACGGCCCAGACUCCUACGGGAGGCAGCAGUGGGGAAUAUUGGACAAUGGGCGAAAGCCUGAUCCAGCAAUGCCGCGUGAGUGAUGAAGGCCUUAGGGUUGUAAAGCUCUUUUACCCGGGAUGAUAAUGACAGUACCGGGAGAAUAAGCUCCGGCUAACUCCGUG
rnacentral:rRNA from 1 species